rnacentral:rRNA from 1 species
UGCAGUCGACGGGCCCCGAAUUUCGGUUUGGUGGUUAGUGGCGAACGGGUGAGUAACGCGUGAGGAACCUAACCCACAGAGGGGGAUAACACCUGGAAACGGGUGCUAAUACCGCAUAAGACCACAAUGUCGCAUGGCAAAGGGGUCAAAGGAGCAAUCCGCUGAGGGAUGGACUCGCGUCCCAUUAGAUAGUUGGUGAGGUAACGGCCCACCAAGUCAACGAUGGGUAGCCGAGCUGAGAGGCUGAUCGGCCACACUGGAACUGAGACACGGUCCAGACUCCUACGGGAGGCAGCAGUAGGGAAUAUUGGGCAAUGGGGGAAACCCUGACCCAGCAACGCCGCGUGAGGGAAGAAGGUUUUCGGAUUGUAAACCUCUGUCCUAUGUGACGAAGAAAGUGACGGUAGCAUAGGAGGAAGCCCCGGCUAACUACGUGCCAGCAGCCGCGGUAAUACGUAGGGGGCGAGCGUUGUCCGGAAUUACUGGGCGUAAAGGGUGCGUAGGCGGCCGAUUAAGUUGGAUGUGAAAUACCCGUGCUCAACAUGGGGGGUGCAUUCAAAACUGGUUGGCUAGAGUACAGGAGAGGGAAGCGGAAUUCCUAGUGUAGCGGUGAAAUGCGUAGAUAUUAGGAGGAACACCAGUGGCGAAGGCGGCUUUCUGGACUGACACUGACGCUGAGGCACGAAAGCGUGGGGAGCAAACAGGAUUAGAUACCCUGGUAGUCCACGCUGUAAACGAUGAAUACUAGGUGUAGGGGGUAUGAACUCCCUCUGUGCCGCAGCAAACGCAAUAAGUAUUCCGCCUGGGGAGUACGGCCGCUAGGUUGAAACUCAAAGGAAUUGACGGGGGCCCGCACAAGCAGCGGAGCAUGUGGUUUAAUUCGAAGCAACGCGAAAGAACCUUACCAAGGCUUGACAUCCAACUAAACUCAUGGAAAACAUGAGGUGUCUUUCGGGCAAGUUUAAGACCGGGUGGUUGCAUGGGUUGUCGUUCAGCUCCGUGUCCGUGAAAUGUUUGGGUUUAAGUCCCCGCAACCGAGGCGCAACCC